GACGGAGGGUGCUAGCGUUGUUCGGAAUUACUGGGCGUAAAGGGCGCGUAGGCGGCCUCUUGCGUCGGAUGUGAAAGCCCGGGGCUCAACCCCGGAACGGCAUCCGAUACGGGGGGGCUCGAGACCGGGAGAGGUGAGUGGAAUACCCAGUGUAGAGGUGAAAUUCGUAGAUAUUGGGUGGAACACCGGUGGCGAAAGCGGCUCACUGGCCCGGUUCUGACGCUGAGGCGCGAAAGCGUGGGGAGCAAACAGGG
rnacentral:rRNA from 1 species